rnacentral:rRNA from 1 species
AAACGUAGGGGGCGAGCGUUAUCCGGAUUUACUGGGUGUAAAGCGCGUGCAGGCGGCGGUGCAAGUUGUCUGUGAAAGCGCCCGGCUCAACCGGGCGAGGACGGGCAAGACUGCGCCGCUAGAGGCAGGUAGAGGUGUGUGGAAUUCCGGGUGUAGUGGUGAAAUGCGUAGAGAUCCGGAGGAACACCAGUGGCGAAGGCGACACACUGGGCCUGACCUGACGCUCAGACGCGAAAGCAUGGGGAGCGAACGGGAUUAGAAACCCCGGUAGUCCAUGCCGUAAACGAUGCGGACUAGGUGUUGCGGGUUGAAUCCCCUGCAGUGCCGCAGCCAACGUGAUAAGUCCGCCACCUGGGGACUACGGCCGCAAGGUUAAA